CCUACGGGUUCACAUUUUACACCAGCAGUGUUCUAUUUGGUCGGUUUGCUCUCCUUCUCUCGUCCGUUACAGGUUUUGAAUUAAAAAUUUGUGGUGAUGUCUUCAUCCUCCAAAUCCAAGUCCAAAGACAAAAAGAUUGCUAAGGGAACACCCAAGGCCUCUUCAAAGUCUUCGAACCAUGCCAAUACCGGUGGUGGGAUCUCCACUAGUGGAUACAAUCCUCUCUCUAGAACAUUCCACAAAGUGGAUGUGGCUGCUGUAUCUUCUGGUGCUCCUCUUCAUGCCAGUGCUCAUUUUAGAAACAUAGAUGAGAUAGAUGACCGCAGUGGCUACUCAUUUGGAACUGUUUCUGAGCAUGAUUCUGUUUCUAACAAUGGUAGCUGGUCUGGUGAGUUGGAGGACCGUAAAGAAACUACAUCUCUGCUGCCUCCUAGUCAGGGCACAAUACCCAGUGCUGAUAAUGACAAGCAUGAAAAAAUCCGUCAGAAGAAUGAGAAGAAACAUCAACGCCAAAAAGAGAGGCGCGCACAAGAGUUGCACGAGAAGUGUUGCAGCUAUCUGAUGUCAAGAAAGUUGGAAGGUCUUGCUCAACAACUGGUGGCAAUGGGAUUCCCUCUAGACCGAGCUACAAUGGCUCUUAUUUUGAAUGAAGGAAGAGUUGAAGAAUCAGUGACAUGGUUGUUUACAGAAGGUGAAGUACCAUACAAGUACAAGGAGCAUAAUCUCAAUGGUGGGGGUAAUUUGAAAAUUGAUAUAUCGGAUGAGCUUGCUCAUAUUGUUGAUUUGGAAAUUAGAUUUCAAUGCUCCAAGCAGGAAGUUGAAAGAGUUUUGGUUGCCUGUGAGGGCGAUUUUGUUAAGGCUGAAGAAACUUUAAGGUCACAGAAGCAGAAGCCCGCUAUGCCACCCACGCAAGAAGAAACUGGCAAUCCUCCAACCGUGGGCAGUAGUAAGCUUCCACUAGCUGCUAUCCAGAACUUUAUUGUAGCACCAACAAAAGUCACUUCAUCCACUAAUCCAACACAGAAGAGGGAUGAGAAAGCGUCAAAUUAUUCAAAAGUUACAACUGUAGCGAGUUCAUCUAUAGAUCCUGGAAACAAAAUUGCACAGUCAUUGAAGAAGAGAGCUCAACCAAAAAAGGACCUGACAAAGCCGCCAGUAGUAGGUGUGCCUGCUGACAAAAGGUUGCCAGGUGCAGAAUCAAAUCCUCCUGCCACCUAUUCUUUAACAUCACCUCAACCUGUAAAGGUAGAAGCUCAGUACGAAGCAGUUGGGAAUGCACUGAAGAAUCUGCAGCUAGGAAGCUUAAGAGAACAUGUUGUACCGAUGCAACUACCCCAACCCAUCAGUGCAAAGAAGAUUCCCACCCCAAGUGUGAGUUCAUCAUCUUCAUGUCCACCUGGGACUUCUGCUGGUUGGUUUCCAAAUACCGCAGCACCUCUGGACCCUAGUGGUUUAAUGCCACAUGUUAUUGGACCAAGGAACCUGAACCCCAAUAGUGUCGGUAAAAGCGAAUUGUACAGCCAACUUCAUUAUCAACAGCAGCAACCGCAGCAAUGUGUGUCAAACAGUGCCUUUCCUGAACCCCUUGGAACAAGCUGGGGCAACAAUUUGUGGAAUAUAACUACUCCUCAGUCUCAUUCACUAGCCGCUGCUCCCCCCUCGGGACUCUAUUCUGCGUUCAGUGCCAAUGCUCAAUCAAGUUCAUUACCUUCUGUGGACUGGAAGCCUUAUUACUCAGUGCCACAGAUUAAUUACAACAAGAUUGAUUGGAGAUUGGAUCUCCCUACACCAUCUGAUGGGAUAUGGUCCACAAUGAACUUUCUCAUGCAAAGCAACAACCCUCGGACCUAUGACUCGUUUGGUGGUAGGGCUGCUGCUGUGGGACCUGUUGUGUCAAAUCGCAAUGGUGUUUCAAUGCUAAGGUCCCAGGAUAGAGGAGCAGGCACACACACCCCGGCUAUUGUAUUGCAUGAGUGGGCUUCACCAUUCGAAGAAAGAGAUCUUUUUGGUUUACAGUUACUCCGACAGUUUGUUUCUUCUCCUUCGCUUUAGGGUAGAAUGACUUAGAGAAGGGAAUAAAUGGUGAGAAAAAUACCCAUAAUUGUAUGUAGUGUAGGUUUCAUGGAAUGACUUAGAGAAGGGAAUAAAUGGUGAAAAAAAUACCCAUAAUUGUAUGUAGUGUAGGUUUCAUGUUGUGACCCUUGUUGAUUGUUGUACUGUUGUAGUGGUAAAAGCAUCAAGUCCUUUUCAUUUGCAAAGGAGAGAGAGAGGUUGAGUACUGUUCUUUUU